UAAUACCCUAUAGGUUACAGAUGCUGGAAUGCUCUGUAACUCAAAGUUCCGGCGCCUUAGGAUGGAUCUGCGGCCGAUUAGGUUGUUGUUGGGGUAAUGGCCCAACAAGCCAGUAAUCGAUACGGGUUGUGGGAGCAAGAGCCCGGAGAUGGAAUCUGAGACACGAUUCCAGGCCCUACGGGGCGCAGCAGGCGCGAAAACUUUACAAUGCGGGCAACCGUGAUAAGGGAACCUCGAGUGCCUGUAUAUGCAGGCUGUCCAGGUGUCUAAAACACACCUGAAGAAAGGGCCGGGCAAGACCGGUGCCAGCCGCCGCGGUAAUACCGGCGGCUCGAGUGGUGGCCACUUUUAUUGGGCUUAAAGCGUUCGUAGCUGGGUUGUUAAGUCUCUUGGGAAAUCUGGCAGCUUAACUGUCAGGCGUCUAAGGGAUACUGGCAAUCUUGGGACCGGGAGAGGUGAGGGGUACUUCGGGGGUAGGAGUGAAAUCCUGUAAUCCUCGAGGGACCACCUGUGGCGAAGGCGCCUCACCAGAACGGCUUCGACAGUGAGGGACGAAAGCUGGGGGAGCAAACCGGAUUAGAUACCCGGGUAGUCCCAGCCGUAAACGAUGUGCGUUAGGUGU
rnacentral:rRNA from 1 species